rnacentral:rRNA from 1 species
GAGUUUGAUCGUGGCUCAGAUUGAACGCUGGCGGCAUGCCUUACACAUGCAAGUCGAACGGCAGCACGGGAGCUUGCUCCUGGUGGCGAGUGGCGAACGGGUGAGUAAUGCAUCGGAACGUAUCCUGGAGUGGGGGAUAACGUAGCGAAAGUUACGCUAAUACCGCAUAUUCUGUGAGCAGGAAAGCGGGGGACCUUCGGGCCUCGCGCUCUUGGAGCGGCCGAUGUCGGAUUAGCUAGUUGGUGAGGUAAAGGCUCACCAAGGCGACGAUCCGUAGCAGGUCUGAGAGGAUGAUCUGCCACACUGGAACUGAGACACGGUCCAGACUCCUACGGGAGGCAGCAGUGGGGAAUUUUGGGACAAUGGGGGCAACCCUGAUCCAGCCAUGCCGCGUGAGUGAAGAAGGCCUCGGUUGUAAG